AGAGUUUGAUCCUGGCUCAGGAUGAACGCUGGCGGGCGUGCCUAACACAUGCAAGUCGAACGAAGCAUACACCACGGAAGCCUCCGGGCGGAAGAGGGGUAUGACUGAGUGGCGGACGGGUGAGUAACGCGUGGGCAACCUGCCCUGUACCGGGGGAUAACACCCAGAAAUGGGCGCUAAUACCGCAUAAGCGCACAGUGCCGCAUGGCACGGUGUGAAAAACUCCGGUGGUACAGGAUGGGCCCGCGUCUGAUUAGCUAGUUGGCAGGGUAACGGCCUACCAAGGCAGCGAUCAGUAGCCGGCUUGAGAGAGUGACCGGCCACAUUGGGACUGAGACACGGCCCAAACUCCUACGGGAGGCAGCAGUGGGGAAUAUUGCACAAUGGGGGAAACCCCGAUGCAGCGACGCCGCGUGAGUGAAGAAGUAUUUCGGUAUGUAAAGCUCUAUCAGCAGGGAAGAAGAUGACGGUACCUGACUAAGAAGCCCCGGCUAACUACGUGCCAGCAGCCGCGGUAAUACGUAGGGGGCAAGCGUUAUCCGGAUUUACUGGGUGUAAAGGGAGCGUAGACGGCAUGGCAAGUCAGAUGUGAAAGCCCGGGGCUCAACCCCGGGACUGCAUUUGAAACUGUCAGGCUGGAGUGCAGGAGAGGUAAGCGGAAUUCCUAGUGUAGCGGUGAAAUGCGUAGAUAUUAGGAGGAACACCAGUGGCGAAGGCGGCUUACUGGACUGUAACUGACGUUGAGGCUCGAAAGCGUGGGGAGCAAACAGGAUUAGAUACCCUGGUAGUCCACGCCGUAAACGAUGA
rnacentral:rRNA from 1 species